UUAGGAAUCUUGCGCAAUGGGCGAAAGCCUGACGCAGCAACGCCGCGUGGGGGAUGAAUGCUCUCGGGUUGUAAACCCCUUUCAGCGGGGACGAUUAUGACGGUACCCGCAGAAGAAGGACCGGCCAACUACGUGCCAGCAGCCGCGGUAAUACGUAGGGUCCAAGCGUUGUCCGGAUUUAUUGGGCGUAAAGAGCUCGUAGGCGGUUUCGUAAGUCGGAUGUGAAAACUCAGGGCUCAACCCGGAGACGCCAUCUGAUACUGCGAUGACUUGAGUCUGGUAGGGGAUCACGGAAUACCUGGUGUAGCGGUGAAAUGCGCAGAUAUCAGGUGGAACACCGAUGGCGAAGGCAGUGAUCUGGGCCAGUACUGACGCUGAGGAGCGAAAGCGUGGGGAGCAAACAG
rnacentral:rRNA from 1 species